GUCGAAACUUCUACUAGUACGGAUAUUGUUGCGAAGUGCGACAUAAAUAUUACGAAAAGUGUAUUGUAAGAAAAAAAGGAUGUCCUACGUUUUCAACGGAAACACAUUUUGGAUCAGAUUUACUGCACGUAAGAGAAAGAGGCGCGAAUUUCGCGACAGGGAAACUCCUACGGAUGUGAAUCGACGUUCGGGAGCGACGUGAGUCAAAAAUAUCGCUGCACGAAGGAAGAGACGCAAAGAAAAUAUAUGUAAUUACCUUCGAUCUGUAAGUGUCAUCAAUGCAUCGUCCAGUUGCAUGUACUAUUCGCCGGAUCGGUAGUUUGAGAAAAGAACAUAUACACGGCGACGUGUAAUUUCGCCGACCGUCUUUUGCACGAGCUUGACCGGGGUCGAUUGCCGCAUUCGACUUCGACGUAGUUCCUAACAGCUGCGCCGGCGUCCAAGUUCCGACGACGGGAAACUUUCCGUCACGGGUUUAGCUAAUCGCCGCAAUCGGGUAAGCUUCCGCUUCCCUUCCGCAAGGAAGAAAGAUGGCCCUCGAGAUUACGCAGGCUGGCUUGUUUUUCUCCACAACACUCGUCCCUCCAUCUUUCUUUUGAAAUUUUGAGUGAUUUGCGUGAAUUGAUAAAUAAGUAAAUCGCAUGCUGUCAUUCCAUACUUAAUCGCUAUUUCGAGAUAGGUGCCCGAUCGAAGA